rnacentral:rRNA from 1 species
AGAGUUUGAUCAUGGCUCAGAGUGAACGCUGGCGGUAGGCCUAACACAUGCAAGUCGAACGGCAGCACAGGAGAGCUUGCUCUCUGGGUGGCGAGUGGCGGACGGGUGAGGAAUACAUCGGAAUCUACUCUGUCGUGGGGGAUAACGUAGGGAAACUUACGCUAAUACCGCAUACGACCUACGGGUGAAAGCAGGGGAUCUUCGGACCUUGCGCGAUUGAAUGAGCCGAUGUCGGAUUAGCUAGUUGGCGGGGUAAAGGCCCACCAAGGCGACGAUCCGUAGCUGGUCUGAGAGGAUGAUCAGCCACACUGGAACUGAGACACGGUCCAGACUCCUACGGGAGGCAGCAGUGGGGAAUAUUGGACAAUGGGCGCAAGCCUGAUCCAGCCAUACCGCGUGGGUGAAGAAGGCCUUCGGGUUGUAAAGCCCUUUUGUUGGGAAAGAAAUCCAGCUGGCUAAUACCCGGUUGGGAUGACGGUACCCAAAGAAUAAGCACCGGCUAACUUCGUGCCAGCAGCCGCGGUAAUACGAAGGGUGCAAGCGUUACUCGGAAUUACUGGGCGUAAAGCGUGCGUAGGUGGUCGUUUAAGUCCGUUGUGAAAGCCCUGGGCUCAACCUGGGAACUGCAGUGGAUACUGGGCGACUAGAGUGUGGUAGAGGGUAGCGGAAUUCCUGGUGUAGCAGUGAAAUGCGUAGAGAUCAGGAGGAACAUCCAUGGCGAAGGCAGCUACCUGGACCAACACUGACACUGAGGCACGAAAGCGUG